UGAGGAAUAUUGGUCAAUGGGCGAGAGCCUGAACCAGCCAAGUCGCGUGAAGGAAGAAGGAUCUAUGGUUCGUAAACUUCUUUUGCAGGGGAAUAAAGUGCAGGACGUGUCCUGUUUUGUAUGUACCCUGAGAAUAAGGAUCGGCUAACUCCGUGCCAGCAGCCGCGGUAAUACGGAGGAUCCGAGCGUUAUCCGGAUUUAUUGGGUUUAAAGGGUGCGUAGGUGGUUUGAUAAGUCAGCGGUGAAAGUUUGCAGCUUAACUGUAAAAAUGCCGUUGAAACUGUCGGACUUGAGUGUAAAUGAGGUAGGCGGAAUGCGUGGUGUAGCGGUGAAAUGCAUAGAUAUCACGCAGAACUCCGAUUGCGAAGGCAGCUUACUAAGCUACAACUGACACUGAAG
rnacentral:rRNA from 1 species